AGAGUUUGAUCAUGGCUACAGAACGAACGCUGGCGGCAGGCCUAACACAUGCAAGUCGAACGCUCCGCAAGGGGAGUGGCAGACGGGUGAGUAACACGUGGGAACCUUCCCAUCGCUACGGAAUAGCUCAGGGAAACUUGGGGUAAUACCGUAUACGCCCGAAAGGGGAAAGAUUUAUCGGCGAUGGAUGGGCCCGCGGCUGAUUAGCUAGUUGGUGAGGUAACGGCUCACCAAGGCGACGAUCAGUAGCUGGUCUGAGAGGACGACCAGCCACACUGGGACUGAGACACGGCCCAGACUCCUACGGGAGGCAGCAGUGGGAAUAUUGGACAAUGGGCGCAAGCCUGAUCCAGCCAUGCCGCGUGAGUGACGAAGGUCUUCGGAUUGUAAAGCUCUUUUGGCGGGGACGAUAAUGACGGUACCCGCAGAAUAAGCCCCGGCUAACUUCGUG
rnacentral:rRNA from 1 species